rnacentral:rRNA from 1 species
CCUACGGGAGGCAGCAGUGGGGAAUCUUGCGCAAUGGGCGAAAGCCUGACGCAGCGACGCCGCGUGGGGGAAGAAGGCCUUAGGGUUGUAAACCUCUUUCAGGUGGGACGAAGCCACUCGGGUUAAUAGCCCAGAGGGUGACGGUACCACCAGAAGAAGCCCCGGCUAACUACGUGCCAGCAGCCGCGGUAAUACGUAGGGGGCAAGCGUUGUCCGGAUUUAUUGGGCGUAAAGAGCGUGUAGGCGGCCAGGUAGGUGGGUUGUGAAAACUGGAGGCUCAACCUUCAGACGUCGACCCAAACCCCCUGGCUAGAGUCCGGAAGAGGAGAGUGGAAUUCCUGGUGUAGCGGUGAAAUGCGCAGAUAUCAGGAAGAACACCCGUGGCGAAGGCGGCUCUCUGGGACGGUACUGACGCUGAGACGCGAAAGCGUGGGGAGCGAACAGGAUUAGAUACCCUGGUAGUCCACGCCGUAAACGAUGGGUGCUAGGUGUGGGGGGUGUCGACUCCCUCCGUGCCGAAGCUAACGCAUUAAGCACCCCGCCUGGGGAGUACGGCCGCAAGGCUAAAACUCAAAGGAAUUGACGGCUGAGACGNGCGACGACGACGACGAGGGAGAGG